rnacentral:rRNA from 1 species
AGUGAACGCUGGCGGUAGGCCUAACACAUGCAAGUCGAACGGCAGCACAGUAAGAGCUUGCUCUUACGGGUGGCGAGUGGCGGACGGGUGAGGAAUACAUCGGAAUCUACUUUUUCGUGGGGGAUAACGUAGGGAAACUUACGCUAAUACCGCAUACGACCUACGGGUGAAAGCAGGGGAUCUUCGGACCUUGCGCGAUUGAAUGAGCCGAUGUCGGAUUAGCUAGUUGGCGGGGUAAAGGCCCACCAAGGCGACGAUCCGUAGCUGGUCUGAGAGGAUGAUCAGCCACACUGGAACUGAGACACGGUCCAGACUCCUACGGGAGGCAACAGUGGGGAAUAUUGGACAAUGGGCGCAAGCCUGAUCCAGCCAUACCGCGUGGGUGAAGAAGGCCUUCGGGUUUUAAAGCCCUUUUGUUGGGAAAGAAAAGCAGCAGGUUAAUACCCCGCUGUUCUGACGGUACCCAAAGAAUAAGCACCGGCUAACUUCGUG